rnacentral:rRNA from 1 species
UUAACCUACGGGACGCAGCAGUGGGGGAUAUUGCACAAUGGGGGGAACCCUGAUGCAGCGACGCCGCGUGAACGAAGAAAUAUUUCGGUAUGUAAAGUUCUAUCAGCAGGGAAGAAAAUGACAGUACCUGACCAAGAAGCCCCGGCUAACUACGUGCCAGCAGCCGCGGUAAUACGUAGGGGGCGAGCGUUAUCCGGAUUUACUGGGUGUAAAAGGAGCGUAGACGGCAGUGCAAGUCUGGAGUGAAAGGCGGGGGCUCAACCCCCGGACUGCUCUGGAAACUGUACGGCUGGAGUGCAGGAGAG